rnacentral:rRNA from 1 species
UGGGGAAUAUUGCACAAUGGGGGAAACCCUGAUGCAGCAACGCCGCGUGAGUGAUGACGGCCUUCGGGUUGUAAAGCUCUGUCUUCAGGGACGAUAAUGACGGUACCUGAGGAGGAAGCCACGGCUAACUACGUGCCAGCAGCCGCGGUAAUACGUAGGUGGCAAGCGUUGUCCGGAUUUACUGGGCGUAAAGGGAGCGUAGGCGGACUUUUAAGUGAGAUGUGAAAUACCCGGGCUCAACCUGGGUGCCGCAUUUCAAACUGGAAGUCUAGAGUGCAGGAGAGGAGAGUGGAAUUCCUAGUGUAGCGGUGAAAUGCGUAGAGAUUAGGAAGAACACCAGUGGCGAAGGCGACUCUCUGGACUGUAACUGACGCUGAGGCUCGAAAGCGUGGGGAGCAAACA